rnacentral:rRNA from 1 species
AGAGUUUGAUCCUGGCUCAGAACGAACGCUGGCGGCGUGCUUAACACAUGCAAGUCGAACGCGAAAGUUUUCUUCGGAAGACGAGUAGAGUGGCGCACGGGUGAGUAACGCGUAAGUAAUCUACCCCGGCAUCUGGAAUAACUCACCGAAAGGUGUGCUAAUACCGGAUACGUUGGUAACAAGAAAGGUGGCCUCUGCAUAUGCUACCGUGCUGGGAUGAGCUUGCGUACCAUUAGCUAGUUGGUAGGGUAAUGGCCUACCAAGGCAACGAUGGUUAGCGGGUCUGAGAGGAUGAUCCGCCACACUGGAACUGGAACACGGACCAGACUCCUACGGGAGGCAGCAGUGAGGAAUAUUGCGCAAUGGGGGCAACCCUGACGCAGCGACGCCGCGUGGAUGAUGAAGGCCUUCGGGUCGUAAAAUCCUGUCAGAUGGAAAGAAGUGCUAUGUGGUUAAUACCCAUGUAGCUUGACGGUACCAUCGAAGGAAGCACCGGCUAACUCCGUGCCAGCAGCCGCGGUAAUACGGAGGGUGCAAGCGUUGUUCGGAAUUACUGGGCGUAAAGCGCGCGUAGGCGGUUUGUUAAGUCAGAUGUGAAAGCCCAUGGCUCAACCAUGGACGUGCAUUUGAAACUGGCAGACUUGAGUAUUGGAGGGGGUGGUGGAAUUCCCGGUGUAGAGGUGAAAUUCGUAGAUAUCGGGAGGAAUACCGGUGGCGAAGGCGACCACCUGGCCAAAUACUGACGCUGAGGUGCGAAAGCGUGGGGAGCAAACAGGAUUAGAUACCCUGGUAGUCCACGCCGUAAACGAUGAGAACUAGGUGUUGGGACGGUUAAUCGUCUCAUUGCCGCAGCUAACGCAUUAAGUUCUCCG